rnacentral:rRNA from 1 species
GAUUCUGGCUCAGGACGAACGCUGGCGGCACGCUUAACACAUGCAAGUCGAACGGAGAAUAUUGGUUACUGAGUAUUCUAGUGGCGGACGGGUGAGUAACACGUGAGCAACCUGCCUUUGAGAGAGGGAUAGCUUCUGGAAACGGAUGGUAAUACCUCAUAACAUAACGAAGCCGCAUGACUUUGUUAUCAAAGAUUUAUCACUCAAAGAUGGGCUCGCGUCUGAUUAGAUAGUUGGUGAGGUAACGGCUCACCAAGUCGACGAUCAGUAGCCGGACUGAGAGGUUGAACGGCCACAUUGGGACUGAGACACGGCCCAGACUCCUACGGGAGGCAGCAGUGGGGAAUAUUGCACAAUGGGGGAAACCCUGAAUGCAGCGAUGCCGCGUGGAGGAAGAAGGUUUUCGGAUUGUAAACUCCUGUCUUAAAGGACGAUAAUGACGGUACUUUAGGAGGAAGCUCCGGCUAACUACGUGCCAGCCGCUGC